UACAGAGGGGGCAAGCGUUGUUCGGAAUUACUGGGCGUAAAGGGCGCGUAGGCGGCCUGUUAAGUCGAACGUGAAAUCCCCGGGCUCAACCCGGGAACUGCGUCCGAUACUGGCAGGCUUGAAUCCGGGAGAGGGAUGCGGAAUUCCAGGUGUAGCGGUGAAAUGCGUAGAUAUCUGGAGGAACACCGGUGGCGAAGGCAGCACUCUGGGACGUGACUGACGCUGAGACGCGAAAGCGUGGGGAGCAAACAGG
rnacentral:rRNA from 1 species